rnacentral:lncRNA from 1 species
AGUCCGCCGCCUCCCUCCGAGCGCAGGACGCUCCGACGCCCGCUUGCCCGCAGGCCACCGCAGAUCCCGGCAGACUAGGGCACCUCCAAACCCCUGCAGGGAAAGAGAAAGCGCCUUUCCUAAAAGCCGAGUCACUUUAGUUCGCAAGAAGCACUGGCGUUUACGCAGUGGAGAGCCACUGGGGUCACGAGCUGGGUCCUGGAGAGAAAGUCAAAGCGUGCCGCGGGUCGUCUAUCAUCCCAGUCCCAUUACAAGCCAGUCGCACCGCCUUGUUUUAGGAGCGUGAUCCGCCUAAGGUGUGGGGAAGGCUCCCUCUCUGGAGGAGCAGGUCGGAAGACCUCGGUGCAAAAGCAGGGACCCCCUGGCUGACCCUGUUCUCCCUCUGCAAAAUAAAGGAACCCCACCGGUGCAGAACCGUGCCACUGCACCCAUAAGACAGCCCGAGGCUCCUGGCAGACCCUGUAAGUUCCAGUUGGGAACAUUCCGGAACCCUUUUCCAGAGAGAGUUGCGCAGAUAGCUGAUCGCGUGUGUGUUUUCAAAGCCAAGCAAGGGAAACAGCAGCCAAUUAAAAUGAAAUAUUUUCAGUUCC